UACGUAGGGGGCAAGCGUUGUCCGGAUUUAUUGGGCGUAAAGAGCGUGUAGGCGGCUUUACAGGUCCGUUGUGAAAACUCGAGGCUCAACCUCGAGACGCCGGUGGAAACCGUAAGGCUAGAGUCCGGAAGAGGAGAGUGGAAUUCCUGGUGUAGCGGUGAAAUGCGCAGAUAUCAGGAUGAACACCCGUGGCGAAAGCGGCUCUCUGGGACGGUACUGACGCUGAGACGCGAAAGCGUGGGGAGCAAACAGG
rnacentral:rRNA from 1 species